UGGAUGCGGGGGCUUCACCGCCUACCAAAUCCUGACAAACUCCGAAUGCCAGUAGUAUGAUUUACAGCAGUGAGUGACUGGGUGCUAAUGUCCAGUCGCAAAAGAGGAACAACUCAGACCAGCAACUAAGGUCCCGAAGAAUAUGCUAAGUUGAUCUAACGAUGUUUUGUUGCAGAGACAGCUAGGAUGUUAGCUUGGAAGCAGCUAUUCAUUCAAAGAGUGCGUAACAGCUCACUAGUCGAGCGACAGAGCGUGGAUAAUAAACGGGCAUCAAGCAUAUCACCGAAGUUCUGGGCGCGAGAGCGCGGUAGGGGAGCAUUCCAUUCAGCGUCGAAGCAGUUUCGUGAGGAAUUGUGGAGCGUAUGGAAAAGCAAAUGUAGGCAUGAGUAACGAUAAUGCGGGAGAGUAACCCGCACACCGCAAGACCAAGGUUUCCUGAUCAACGCUAAUCGGAUCAGGGUUAGUCGGGUCCUAAGGGUAAGCCGAACGGCGAUCUCGAUGGAUAAUCGGUUAAUAUUCCGAUACUAACAUAUACCUCGAUGGAGAGACGAAGGAACGUAAGUGCCGCCACCUGACGGAAUAGGUGGUUAAAGGGCGUAGGUAUAGGGGCAGAUUAAGAGUUAGUCCUUGCUGAAACCUGACAGUACAGAGAGCCUACGGGCAAUUUGAUAGAGCACCCAAGUCGACUUCCGAGAAAAUCUUCUAAGUUAUAGUAUAUGUUACCCGUACCGUAAACCGACACAGGUGGUCGAGGAGAGUAUCCUAAGGUGCUCGAGUGAAUCACGGUUAAGGAACUAGGCAAAUUAACCCCGUAACUUCGGGAAAAGGGGUCCCUAUGAAAGUAGGGCGCAGCGAAGAGGUCCAGGCGACUGUUUAUCAAAAACACAGGGCUCUGCAAAUUCGAAAGAAGACGUAUAGGGCCUGACACCUGCCCGGUGCUGGAAGGUUAAGAGGGGAUGUCAUCGCAAGAGAAGCAUUGAAUCGAAGCCCCAGUAAACGGCGGCCGUAACUAUAACGGUCCUAAGGUAGCGAAAUUCCUUGUCGGGUAAGUUCCGACCUGCACGAAUGGUGUAACGAUCUGGACACUGUCUCAACCGUGAGCUCGGUGAAAUUGUAGUCCCGGUGAUGAUGCCGGGUACCCGCAACGGGACGAAAAGACCCCGUGAACCUUUACUAUAGCUUAACGCUGAAUUUGGGUACACAAUGUGUAGGAUAGGCCGGAGGCUUUGAAGCGGGCACGCCAGUGUUCGUGGAGCCGACGUUGAAAUACGGCCCUUUGUGUAUUUGAGUUCUAACCCUGCGAAGGGGACACCGUUUGGUGGGUAGUUUGACUGGGGUGGUCGCCUCCAAAAGCGUAACGGAGGCUUCCCAAGGUACCCUCAGCACGAAUGGUAACCGUGCGCGGAGUGCAAUAGCAUAAGGGUGCUUGACUGUGAGACAUACAAGUCGACCAGGUACGAAAGUAGGGUAUAGUGAUCCGGUGGUUCUGCGUGGACUGGCCAUCGCUCAAAGGAUAAAAGGUACUCCGGGGAUAACAGGCUGAUCGCCGCCAAGAGCUCAUAUCGACGCGGCGGUUUGGCACCUCGAUGUCGGCUCGUCACAUCCUGGGGCUGGAGAAGGUCCCAAGGGUUCGGCUGUUCGCCGAUUAAAGUGGCACGCGAGCUGGGUUCAGAACGUCGUGAGACAGUUCGGUCUCUAUCUGUUGCGGGCGUAGGAAGAUUGAGGGGUCCUGACUUUAGUACGAGAGGACCGAGUUGGACGAACCUCCGGUGUAUCGGUUAUGCUGCCAAGUGUACUGCCGAGUAGCCGCGUUCGGUCUGGAUAAGCGCUGAAAGCAUCUAAGCGCGAAGCCAUCCCCAAGAUAAGUCUUCCCUUGAGGGGCGUAGGAGACUACUACGUUGAUAGGCUGCAGGUGUAAAGACAGCAAUGUCAAAGCCGAGCAGUACUAAUUACCCGAUAGGCUUUCUUUU
rnacentral:rRNA from 1 species